rnacentral:lncRNA from 1 species
AACAGUCUCCGUUGUUGGUGUGGUGUAGUGCAUACAGUUCAUGUUUUCUGUUGGUAACGGGAGCAGAGUGAGUUUGUUCAUUUUUGUGUUUUGAUUUCUGUUCAUUUGAUUUCUGUUGUUGCAUUUUCAUUUGUGCACCACUCGUCUCCCUUCCUGGGAGCCCCGGGAGAGGGAGAAGAAUCCCGAGGCCAGAAUCGCAUCCUGGAUGGGGACUUCCUGGGGCGGGACUGACUGCCGGUCCCCCAAGCCCUCUGUGUCCCCAGUGGCUCCUGCGUCCCUCAGCAGAGCGGGGCAGGAGGUGUCCAUGGCGGCUCCUGGGGCCCGAGCUGAGAAGGCUGUCAGGUGGGACAGGUGCUGUCUGCACGGGGGAGGGAGAAAGGGUUUUCACUGGGAGAUUCAGCCUGCGGGGGACUCAGCUGUGGCGCCUCUGUGUGCAGGGGAGGGGCCAUGGCAGUGCGGGCCCUUCUGUCCUGUGCACAGGGGCUCUGCUGGCCUGUCUGUGGUGGCUCUCCAAGAUUCAAGACCCAAAGAAGCCCAGAAACCUGAUCUGCACCAGCAAGAAGACUUCCUGUGGAAGGACCUCUUGGUGGUCUCCCCAUCAUCCACGGGAAGACGGACUCCAAGACUUCCAGCUUCAGAAUCCUUGCCUCUGAGGUCUCCAGGAGUAGAGUGUCCUUCUUUCUCGCUGCCCCAAGGACAGUACGCCGAGCUUCUCUCCUUGCCCACAGGUCACCACCAUCGUCCACUGGAAGCUGGACUCCGAGACUCCCAGCUCAGUAUCCUCGCCCUUCCAGAAGAGGUGUUGAAUGUCCCUCGUCCUCGCUGCCCCAAGACAGGACCCUGUGGAUUCUCUGUCCCCGGGAAACAGCUGCUGCCUGGGAAGAACCUCGUUGCCUCUGUUGGUGCCCAUGGAUUGCCCUGCACUACUGCCUCUGUGCCUGCAUGUUAA